rnacentral:rRNA from 1 species
UUCCGGUUGAUCCCGCCGGACCUGACUGCUAUCGGAUUGAUACUAAGCCAUGCGAGUUUUUGUAGCAAUACAAGGCAUACGGCUCAGUAACACGUAGUCAAUCUAACCUAUGGACGAGGAUAACCUCGGGAAACUGAGAAUAAUACUCGAUAGAUCAUUAUGCCUGGAACGGUUUAUGGUUAAAAUGAAUUUCGCCAUAGGAUGGGACUGCGGUCUAUCAGCUUGUUGGUGAUGUAAUGGACCACCAAGGCUAUAACAGAUACGGGCUCUGAGAGGAGAAGCCCGGAGAUGGGUACUGAAACACGGACCCAGGCCCUAUGGGGCGCAGCAGGCGAGAAAACUUUGCAAUGUGCGAAAGCACGACAAGGUUAAUCCGAGUGAUUCCUGCUAAAGGAAUCUUUUGUUAGUCAUAAAACCACUAUUGAAUAAGGGGUGGGCAAGUUCUGGUGUCAGCCGCCGCGGUAAAACCAGCACCUCAAGUGGUCAGGAUGAUUAUUGGGCCUAAAGCAUCCGUAGCCGGCUCUGUUAGUUUUCGGUUAAAUCCAUAUGCUCAACAUAUGGGCCGCCGGGAAUACUACAAAGCUAGGGAGUGGGAGAGGUAGACGGUACUCCGUAGGAAGGGGUAAAAUCCUUUGAUCUAUGGAUGACCACCAGUGGCGAAGGCGGUCUACCAGAACACGUUCGACGGUGAGGGAUGAAAGCUGGGGGAGCAAACCGGAUUAGAUACCCGGGUAGUCCCAGCUGUAAACUAUGCAAACUCAGUGAUGCAUUGGCUUGUGGCCAGUGCAGUGCCGCAGAGAAGUCGUUAAGUGUGCCGCCUGGGAAGUACGUACGCAAGUAUGAAACUUAAAGGAAUUGGCGGGGGAGCACCACAAGGGGUGAAGCCUGCGGUUCAAUUGGAGUCAACGCCGGAA